rnacentral:rRNA from 1 species
UACGUAGGGUCCGAGCGUUGUCCGGAAUUACUGGGCGUAAAGAGCUCGUAGGUGGUUUGUCGCGUUGUUCGUGAAAACUCACAGCUUAACUGUGGGCGUGCGGGCGAUGCGGGCAGACUGGAGUACUGCAGGGGAGACUGGAAUUCCUGGUGUAGCGGUGGAAUGCGCAGAUAUCAGGAGGAACACCGUGGCGGAAGGCGG